GUGGAUUAGAUACCCUGGUAGUCCACGCCGUAAACGUUGGGCGCUAGGUGUGGGGGACAUUCCACGUCCUCCGUGCCGCAGCUAACGCAUUAAGCGCCCCGCCUGGGGAGUACGGCCGCAAGGCUAAAACUCAAAGGAAUUGACGGGGGCCCGCACAAGCGGCGGAGCAUGCGGAUUAAUUCGAUGCAACGCGAAGAACCUUACCUGGGUUUGACAUAUAGGGAAAACUGCUAGAGAUAGCAGGUCCGUAAGGGUCCUAUACAGGUGGUGCACGGCCGUCGUCAACU
rnacentral:rRNA from 1 species